rnacentral:rRNA from 1 species
GACGGGGGGGGCAAGUGUUCUUCGGAAUGACUGGGCGUAAAGCGCACGUAGGCGGUUAUUCAAGUCAGAGGUGAAAGCCCGGGGCUCAACUCCGGAACUGCCUUUGAAACUAGAUAACUUGAAUCCAGGAGAGGUGAGUGGAAUUCCGAGUGUAGAGGUGAAAUUCGUAGAUAUUCGGAGGAACACCAGUGGCGAAGGCGGCUCACUGGUCCGGUACUGACGCUGAGGUGCGAAAGCGUGGGGAGCAAACAGG